UCACAAUUAAAGUCAGUCAGUAACUAUAUUUAUACAAAUAACUUGUGUCUGCAGAAAAAAAAAAUUGGGAUGUCCAUGUCCUAUUUUUAUGGGGUUAUUCACUAAAGAGAGUUGAAUUCAAGAGAAAUCAUAAUGAAUUUCAAAAAAUCCUUUGCAAUGGUAAAUAAGUCUGCAAGUGUCCCAGUGUCCCUAAUUUAUUAGAUUGCCAUCUUGCCUCCUCUUUGGGCCUUCUCUAUUAAUCCUUUAUGUCUAAUCUUCUUAUCCAGUCCACUUACCUACCAAAGCAGGUUAGCUUACAUUGAAACAUGUACAAACAGUGUACCAAGUUACACCAUUGAUAUAUAAUGCAUUUCCCAUGGUAAUAUGAAAAUGACAGUACUGUAUGUGAGGUUUCUUGAAGGUCUAAUAAAACAAAUUGUUCAGCUUAGUUGAAGAAGCAAUUAUUUCAAGGUUGUCCCAAACAUCUCAUUUUUGUGACGAUCUGGCAGGCAGUCCAUUUUUAACCCAUUUACUACUGAUAACUUUUGGAUUGGAAAAAUGUUAGCAAUUUUUUAUAUUUGAAACAAAGUAUGCAUAGGUAGCCUAUGUUAAUAUUUAUAAACAUAUACAAAUUGCUCAUAU